rnacentral:rRNA from 1 species
UGGGGAAUAUUGGACAAUGGGCGAAAGCCUGAUCCAGCCAUGCCGCGUGAGUGAUGAAGACCCUAGGGUUGUAAAGCCCUUUUGUGCGGGAAGAUAAUGACGGUACCGCAAGAAUAAGCCCCGGCUAACUUCGUGCCAGCAGCCGCGGUAAUACGAAGGGGGCUAGCGUUGCUCGGAAUCACUGGGCGUAAAGGGUGCGUAGGCGGGUUUCUAAGUCAGAGGUGAAAGCCUGGAGCUCAACUCCAGAACUGCCUUUGAUACUGGAAGUCUUGAGUUCGGGAGAGGUGAGUGGAACUGCGAGUGUAGAGGUGAAAUUCGUAGAUAUUCGCAAGAACACCAGUGGCGAAGGCGGCUCACUGGCCCGAUACUGACGCUGAGGCACGAAAGCGUGGGGAGCAAACA